CGGGGCAAAGGCCCUAGGAGGCAAGCACUGCUCACCUUCAGGGAGGGGAAACAGUGUGACAAAAACUUAAAAAGCAAAGAGAAUGGGAUGAGGUAAAGUUGAAAGAGUAAAUGUUACCAAGCUCAAACUGGUUCUGCUCGUCCCAUGACAGGCCAAUAAAUUGGGAGAUGAGGUAUUGGGGCAAGGAAUAACGACUUUAUUCAGAAAGCUGGCAAACCCAGAUGGCCGACUAACAUCCUGGAGAACCAUCUUCCCCCAAGUCAGAAUUCACACUCCUUUUAUACUAAAAAGGGGAGAAGUCGGUUGUUGCAAACUCAUUGGUGUUGGGAUCCCUUGUUCUUGCAGCUGUCCACGUUGGGUCAGGUCCUGGUGUUCCUGCAAACCUCGAAUAAGACAAAUGUUAUUUUCUAUCCUGCAAUUUUACAUCUUUAUAUGAAUGGGCAAGUGUCACACCCUUAAAGGUCAAAACCUUGAGAAUGGGCUAUCCUGUGUAUUUUAGGCUAUAGGCAACAUUCUUUCACAAAAGGUGCAGAAUCAGCAUGACUCAACACAGGGGAACACAGCAGAGGGUUAAAGUCAAAGGAACAGAUCUAAUAAUGGAGUCAGAUUUGUUCUUUUCUAUUAUAUAAACAGGCAUCAAAUCAUUCAGAAACUUGUAGGCCAAGUUAGAGAAUUUGUAUUGUAAAAUAAAUGGAAAGAAAGUUAGAAACGGCAUUUAAGCAAUAGUGACAUGAUACAGUUCAGACUUUUAAAAGGCUACCUUGUAUAUCAGUCUGAUAGGAUGUAGUGUGAGGUCUGCAGUAUGAUCACCUAUGAUAUAUUCCAGGCAAAAAUGUUUACCUUUACUUUGUCAGUUCUUUGCAUCUAACACAUACUUUAUGAGAAAUACAGGGAAGAGAAAAGCAAUCUAAAUGAUACCGCAAAAAGUAACCAAACCAAUCCCGAAGGUGGAACAUUCUGCAGGAUAACUGGCUCCAUCUCUUAAAUUUGAGGGAUGUAGAGUCUAGAUUGAAUCCUGAUUUGAACAGACCAUCUAUAAAAUGCAUUUUCAGGACAACUGAAGAAAUUUGAAUAGAGAUGAACUGUAAUGAGAUGAAAAUGUAUUGCCAUGGAAAAGUGGAGAUCAUUAACCCAAAAGAACAAGUUACAAAACAUAAAGCUGGAACAAAUGAAAAAUGAGAGAUGGAAAAUGGAAAACUGGAAUUCCUCCAGAACCCUGUCUUUCCUACCUCUGCCCCACAAGGUGUCACUAUUGAGACACAGAAAAGCGGCUGUGUCAAGACUGGUCACAAGAUGGCGCUAUUAAAACGGGCAGUUCUGGUGGUGCGAAAGCCCAAGCAAGCUAAGGCGUCCAUGCGGAUGGAAAGUGAAAAUGGCAGAAAAUGAAGAGGAUGGGAGUUUGCAUGUCAGCAGGGAGUUGCUUGCAUCUAAGCGUGAGCCUCUGUGUACGGUUUCCAAUGAAAAUAUUUGACCAUUGACGAGAAUGACCUAUGAUGGUACAGGACAGAUUCCCAUGUGUCUUUUUGGAUUAGAAUUUUCUCCGGAUAAAUGCCCAACAGUGGGAUUGCUGGAUCAUAAGAGAACUGCCUUUGGCCAAUAGGAGCCACUUCCCCUGAGAGGAUACUCUCCCCUCCUGCUCACAGCCAAUGACUGACUCAGAAGGACAUGAAAGCCUGGACCCUUUGUCUCAAGUUCACACUCCAGAGCUCCUCAAGGUAUCAGGCAGAAAGAAGCUAGACUCCAGGUAAGACAUAUCCUUGCU